ACCCUUCGGGGCGAAGAUAGAGCGGAUUAGCGGCGGACGGGUGAGUAACACGUGAGUAACCUGCCUUAGACAUUGGGAUAGCCUCGGGAAACCGGGAUUAAUACCAAAUAAAAUCAUAAUGACACAUGUCAUAACGAUCAAAACUCCGGUGGUCUAAGAUGGACUCGCGUCCCAUUAGCUAGUUGGUAGAGUAAAAGCCUACCAAGGCGACGAUGGGUAGCCGGCCUGAGAGGGUGAACGGCCACAUUGGAACUGAGAAACGGUCCAAACUCCUACGGGAGGCAGCAGUGGGGAAUAUUGCACAAUGGAGGGAACUCUGAUGCAGCGACGCCGCGUGAACGAAGAAGGCUUUCGAGUCGUAAAGUUCUUUUAUAUGGGAAGAUAAUGACGGUACCAUAAGAAAAAGCCCCGGCUAACU
rnacentral:rRNA from 1 species